UAGCGCAAUCUUAACGAUGGAUGUCUUGGUUCCUACAGCGAUGAAGGCCGCAGCGAAACGCGAUAGGCAAUGAUAAUUGCAGUGACUGUGAAUCAUCGGACUGCUGAAUGUAAACUACACC